GAGGAUGCGAGCGUUAUCCGGAUUCAUUGGGUUUAAAGGGUGCGUAGGCGGCGUCUUAAGCCGGCGGUGAAAUCGCGGGGCUCAACCCCGCCGAGCCGUCGGAACUGGGAUGCUCGAGUGUCGGCGAGGCAUGCGGAAUGCGCGGUGUAGCGGUGAAAUGCAUAGAUAUCGCGCAGAACCCCGAUUGCGAAGGCAGCGUGCCAGCCGCCCACUGACGCUGAGGCACGAAAGCGCGGGGAUCGA
rnacentral:rRNA from 1 species